AAAUGAAUUGACGGGGGCCCGCACAAGCGGCGGAGCAUGCGGAUUAAUUCGAUGCAACGCGAAGAACCUUACCAAGGCUUGACAUAUACGAGAACGCUGCAGAAAUGUAGAACUCUUUGGACACUCGUAUACAGGUGGUGCAUGGUUGUCGUCAGCUCGUGUCGUGAGAUGUUGGGUUAAGUCCCGCAACGAGCGCAACCCUCGUCGUAUGUUGCCAGCACGUAAUGGUGGGAACUCAUAUGAGACUGCCGGGGUCAACUCGGAGGAAGGUGGGGAUGAGGUCAAAUCAUCAUGCCCCUUAUGUCUUGGGCUUCACGCAUGCUACAAUGGCCGGUACAAAGGGCUGCGAUACCGCAAGGUGGAGCGAAUCCCAAAAAGCCGGUCUCAGUUCGGAUUGAGGUCUGCAACUCGACCCCAUGAAGUCGGAGUCGCUAGUAAUCGUGAAUCAGCAACGUCACGGUGAAUACGUUCCCGGGCCUUGCACACACCGCCCGU
rnacentral:rRNA from 1 species